GGAUGUGAGGUCGACCUGGCUGCAAUGUCUGUCACUCCACUGAUCACCAGGGUUGAUUCAGCUGAUCUAGGCGGGUGUCCCCUUCCUCCCUCAAGGCUCCAUGUGCGUCCCUCCGGAAGUUGCAUGCUCGGUCAAAGAGGAUGACCACCCCCGAUAGAGGAGGAUCGUUCCUCAGUCAAGGGUAUAUGAGUACCUGUGCUCCCCUGCUAGAACCUCCAAACAAGCUCUCAAAGAAAAGGUAUUUGCGCCAUCUUAUCUUGAUGAACAUUUAGGUCUGGGACUCUCCCUGCGAUGACCU
rnacentral:snRNA from 1 species